GCCCGGGAGCGCUCGGGAGGGCACGUCCUGUACCUGCUGAACUAGCCCUCAUCGGGGAAAGAUGGCUUUCUGCUCCAGGCUGGGAAAGUUUAGGAGGGGGCUGAGGACACGGCGUCCGUUUUGUUUCCUACCGCCCCCUUUCUCCCCCAGGGAGGUGAAGGGGGGUAUUUUAGUUCAUGGCAAUGAAGAAGGUAAAUUAUGGCAGCCUGAGCGAACUGAAGCAAAACAUAAGCAUAACUUAAAAAGCCCUCAGUUUAUGAACACUGCCUCUUUGUUUUCCAGAUGCUCUACCUGAAUAGUUCAGAUAUUUCCAGCAUCUUUUCUGAUGCAGGGCUAUCAGAAACGCUCACUCGUGAGGCACUCGUGGGGCUACGUCUAGUUUCCAGACUCUGCCCAACCUACCGAGUGCAAAAACUUCGUCUUCUCCCAACGUCGUGCACUGAAAGCGGGUUUUAUGUAAACAAAUCCAGAUGAAGGGAGCGUAAAUCUACAGAAGGAACCUCACCCCCGGCUGCACUGGGGACUGGCGGCCGUCCUUCCGUCGGAAAAAAAAAAAAAGAAAAAAGAAAAAAAAGACGACCCCAAGCUCGCAGGAGCCACCUCUGUGUUUCCACGUCAGGGAAAAACCCAGACUCUCGCUGCCUUCAGAGGUCUAGUGGCAAUACAAAGGCUGCCCCGGAAAGCUCUAGGCUAAGCGUCGUCUUGUGGAGGGAUGCGAAGGAUUUGCUUACAGCAAAAAAAAAAAAAAAAAAAAAAACAAAAAAAAAAAAAACAAACCUCUCCCGUUUCCAGAAAGGAAAAAAGGAAAACCUAGCUGCAUGUCCUCGAUAACAACUACUCAAUAAAACUAGUUUUGCCAGCCAUGUGUACGAAAGCCACGCAUCUGGUAAGGAAUAAAAUGUUAGCGUUCAGCCCUUUAUGCCAGAAGUCAUAUGCAUUUUCUUGCCCUAUUUCCCCCAGCAUUAAACUGGUUUCUCUCCACAAAACCUUCCCUCGCUGGCUACCUUUUCUCUCCCCGCGAUCCCCUCUCAGGCUUUAUUGCCACCAGCAGCGAGAAAAUGAUGGUGCCCACCAACCGGGUCAUUAUUGUUUAAUCGAUGCAUCUCCGGAGCAUGAAAAGGGUACCCGAGACGCAGUUAUUGAUUUCCCUCCCCCUCUAACUAUCGCCCUCUUUUCCACGAAUGAAAUAAAUAAAUAGAAAUUGCUAGCCGGG